rnacentral:rRNA from 1 species
ACGCGUGGAACCUUACCAGGUCUUGACAUCCCACUGACCGCUAUGGAGACAUAGCUUUCCCUUUUUGGGACAGUGGUGACAGGUGGUGCAUGGUUGUCGUCAGCUCGUGUCGUGAGAUGUUGGGUUAAGUCCCGCAACGAGCGCAACCCUUGUUCUUAGUUGCCAUCAUUUAGUUGGGCACUCUAAGGAGACUGCCGGUGACAAACCGGAGGAAGGUGGGGAUGACGUCAAAUCAUCAUGCCCCUUAUGACCUGGGCUACACACGUGCUACAAUGGACGGUACAAACGGUUGCCAACCCGCGAGGGGGAGCUAAUCCGAUAAAACCGUUCUCAGUUCGGAUUGUAGGCUGCAACUCGCCUACAUGAAGCCGGAAUCGCUAGUAAUCGCGGAUCAGCAUGCCGCGGUGAAUACGUUCCCGGGCCUUGCACUCACCGCCCGU